CCAGCUUCCUCCUCUUCCUCCUCCAGCUCCAACUGCAGUGGCAAGGUCUGGGGAUUGAGAGGCCCGGCAUGACUAAGAGAUAUCGUGAAAUUACAACUCAACAAUGAAUUACAGCACAGGCUUUUCACAACUAAGAGACUGUCCAUCAUGGUGCCAGUUUUUCUCAAAAUGGCAUGUGUGCAUGAAAUUCUACAGGCAUAUGGGGUCGUGAUCUGCUAAUCUCCAGUUAUUAUAACUACUUUGAAAAGGGACUUUCCAGCUAUCAGUACACUAUCUCACAAUUACCCUUGAACCAGAAGACAAUGAAUGAUUUGCUAAACAGAUGGCAUAGUCUAUGACAUGCAUCAUAUGUGUGAGCAAUCACAGAAGACUCCUUCCUGUUGCCUUGUGAAGAAGGCUCCUGCUUCCCCUUCACCUUCUGCGCGAUUGUAAGUUUCCUGAGGCCUCCUAGCCAUGCUUCUUGUUCACUCUGCGGAACUGUCCUGAGCUGAAAAGAAUAUGAGAAAUCGGAUUUUACGACAUACCAAAUUAUGAUUGUAUGUCCCAGAAAUUCACUUAGAAGCUAAUAGAAAAAAUGAAACCAAAGCCUUUUGAGAGUUGAAAAUUUAUCAUGACAUAUGCUGGCUGCACAGUCAAAACUUAUCACUGCCCACGACUUCGGAAGCAUGACAGGAGAGCUGUGGGAGCCACUUCCUCGUCAGACGUGGUUUGAUAUGUCAAGUGAGAACCUGAGUAAAGCAAAGAGGUGAACUAUGACUUGGAAUCCUCCAGGCUUUGGCUUCCAUCACACUCCAUGAACUUGAUGCACAUAAUUUAAUGUAGGCCUCCACCCAAUAUCAUCAGUUCUCUUGCAUGUUGAACCCCCAGUUUCCUGGAUCUGACCAACAUGACCUUAAUGUUCCUAUCAGCUCGACUAAACUUUAAAGAGAUUUCUUCCUCAAUAUGGGCCUCUAACUUCCCUUUUCUUAGAGCAUUUACUUUAGAAAUUUUGCAAUUAUCAAUUUUUUCUCCCUAUUUUUGAGAUGUAAAUUUUCUACAACUCAGGAAUGUCUUUCUCAAGGACAUGAGAGAUAUCCCUUUGAAAUGUAAUUGUGAAAAAUGAUAGCACCUCUAUUUCAAUCUGUGUAGGAGAGUAGGAGCCUAACUCAGGUAAGUGACAUUUAGCAAACUCAGAUGGCCUAAACACAUUCACCAACUUCCCCACUAAUGUACUCCCUACUGGUUCAUGUCAGCAUUUAAUAAUCCUUCUGCUUUCUUUUCAGUGGAGCUGAGUUCAGUCUGUCUCUCUUCUGCAGUGGUCUUCUCUCCCAUUGCAAUGGUCUUGAGUAAAGUGUUCUUUGUUUGUUUUACUUGGAGAUGAUGUCAGUUCAAUAUUGAAGUCUCUCUUCCCUACUACAGUAGUUCAAAUAAAAUCCAUCUUGCCAUUCUUAACAAGUAUUGGUAUAAUUUCUCUUUAACAUUUCUCGUGUCUUUCUCUUAAUUGGUUUCUUCUCUUGUUUUACAGAGCAUGUUAGUCACUAGUUUCUUAAGUCUGAUGAAUGUGCUUUCAUUACAUUUUUAUAUUAAUUGACUGAUAUUUUGGAUGGACACAUUUAUACUGCUUGGUUAAAUACGAUUUUCUCUCAGAAUCAUGUGGAAAUUUCUCCGUUAUUUUCUAGUUUCUGUUUUUGCAGUUGAGAAGUCCAAUAUCAUUUUGCUUCCCUACAUUUUUAAAAAAUGUAACCUGUUUCCAUUCUUUCUUUCUUUUGGUAUUUUGCAUCUGUUUUUAAAAAAGCAAUGAUAUAGUUCCAAAACCAUUGAAGAGUAUAAAGGAUAUUAUAAUAACGUCAUUAUACCCACCAC
rnacentral:lncRNA from 1 species